rnacentral:ncRNA from 2 species
UCACCGAGUAGAGGUUGCGAAGGUCAUUACACCUGCAGAGCAUAGCAUUGCACUGAAGCAGGCCUAGGGACAUUCGCCGAAACGACAAGGGGAUGCUACUCCUUUUUCGUUGGGCUGCAAAUGAACAAUUUGCAGACUGUCUUGGCAAUUGCCAAGGUGCGCUAUGUUUUGU